rnacentral:lncRNA from 1 species
GCUAACCAAAAUGUAGGAAUCUUAUGGCUCAUUGUGAUAUUAUGGAGUGUGUGUGUGUGUGUGUGUGUGUGUGUGUGUGUGUGUGUGUGUGUGUGUGUAUUUGUAUCAUUCUUUGUUCUGUGUAUAUAGCUAUGUGUAUGUGUUUACUGUCCUGUGAGUGUGUAACAUUUUCUAAGCUUUUGUCUUACCCAGCUCACUCCAUUGGUGGUUAUAGGUUUCUGGACUGGAUACAUGUGUUCAAGUGUGUACCUGCAUAUAUGUCUUCAGUUGCUCAUGUCUCUGUGUGUGUGUAGUUCAAGUGGUAUCUGUAUAUAUGUCUUCAGUUGCUCAUGCCUCUCUGUGUGUAGGCCAGAGAUCAAAAGCCAGUGUCUUCCACACAAACACUAGCCAUCCCUUUUAUUUUUUUAAUACCAGGUCUCUCACUGAGCCUGGAGCUCAAGGAUUUAACUAGGUUGUUGAACAGUGAUUCCCAGGGAUCAGAUAGUAACUAGCACACACACCCUAUUGGCUUGUACCAUUCUUAUUAAGAAUCGCUGUCAUGAGAAAUCCCUAUUUAAUUUUGUUUCUGCUGUGAUACCUACUGGUCACUAACAGUUUCUCUUGCUCUCUUUUCCAUCCUUGCACUCAUCCUCACGAACCUAUCAUUUCAGACCCUCUAAGCACAGAUUCUGAGGAUGUAUUUUGAAAGGCUUUCUCUAGUACAGUGAUGGUUAACCGUGGUUAUGGUCAACUCUCAGGAUGCAAGAUAUAGCACAGACAGGAACCAGGAGGGAUAAAGACUGCAUGUAAAUUCAGUAAGAUGACACUCAGAAAUGCCAUGCUAUGGAGUAACGGAAACAGACUGAAAUACAGAAAAAUUACAAAGAAAAAAAUACACAGAAAAGUACAAAGGGAAAACAAUAAGAAUCGAAUAUCAGUGCUGGUCUAAGAGAACAGAUAUCACAAAAGGAAAAUCAGCUUCUUCAAUAAUUGUGGAAACCAUUUUCUCCAAUACAGAGGGGAAAACAAAACAAAUAUCAAGCUAUAAACAGAGGAGGGUGUGUGAUGUGGUGGUGGGCAGAGGAGAGGUACAUGACGUGAUGUCAUGUGUGAUGUGUCAUCUACACUUCUACAGCUAUGUCGACAGCUAGAUAUAGUUAAGACUUAAGUCAACUAAGGUACAUCACACACAGAUCUGAGAGAGAGAGGGAGGGAGGGAGAGAGAGAGAGAGAGAGAGAGCGCAUCAGGGACAUUCUAGAAGUUGUCUGUGGUGAAGCGACAUGCCAGACGGAGUCAGGUGGUGAAUUCUUUACUAAAAUUAAAAGGGUGCAUGUUUAUUUUAUUCUCACUUAUCCUAAUUUGUGUGCAAGUGUCUGUGUGUGUGCGUGUGCAUGCCCAUGUGUGUGCAUGCAUGGAGGCACCAGAGAACAACUUUAGGGUAUUUGUCCUUAGACAAUGUUCACCUGUCUUUCCUCCUCCUCCUCCCCUGUUUUCAACUUUUCCUUUUUCCUUCUCCCACAACUCCUUCCUCUCCUUCUCUCUCCCUUUCUUUAUCCUUCCUUCCUUCUUUAUUUCCUUAUGUUCUUUUCUUUUUUCUUUUUUUUGUGACAGCUUUAUUUAUUUAUUUAUUUAUUUAUUUAUUUAUUUAUUUAUUUAUUUUGUCUGCCAUACUAGAAAAAUACUUAACCUAUUAAUCUAUACUGUUAGGCCAGCUAACUCCAGAGAUCCUACUGUCUCUGCCUCCCCAGCCCUGGGAUGACAAUAAAAUGCUGCUAUACCCAAAACAGUUUUGUAUGUGUUCAGGUCCUUGUACUCAUCCAUCAAGUAUUUUACAGACACCUGUCUAUUUUAAUAAUAUAUUACCACUAACUCUCACAUUAUUAAGAAACAGAUUGUUGCCCUAUUCUGUUUAAAUGUUUUACCAUGUAAACAAAUUCCCACUGAAAACUGAGUUGAGGGUCCUGCAAUUAAAUGCCUCAGUCAGAGGUUAGAGGGCUGAAGUGAGAGACAUCAAUGCACUGGCCACUUCAUACUUUUAGUCACCUUUGCAUUCAUGGUUUUAAGUCACCAACAUCAAGCCCACUAGAAAUGACUUUUGUCUCUUGUGAGUGAGCACAGGAGUUAGAGCCUUAAGUGGAAAAAGGAGAGGACUCCCAUGACUUGGGAAUGGGGAAGCCAAGCCAUACACUCAGACUGUGACAGAAGGGCUAUCGUCCCCUGGGACCCAUUCUGGAGUCCCUGUAAAUUGCUACAAUCACUGGGAGGCUUUCCUGGUGGCUCAUGUCACCCCUGAACCCUCCUGUUGUGUUUACCAAAUUUUAAUAGUUUCAUCAGCGUAAUUGCCCUGGCCUCCAGCAUGCCCUUAACAUCUGUCUCCUUGCAUUUCCUGAUUGCACCUCAGCUUCCUUGCCCUUGGCCAGAUGUGUCAGACAAAAAGCAUUGCAGACCGAGAAUGUGAGGGUGUCUGAGGUGGAGGAAAUGGUCUGUGUUCAGAAGAGUUGCAUCCAGAGAAUCAACCUGUCUCCUGAGGUUCUGCUAGGACAUAGGAGACCAGCAAAGGGCUGAUCAUGUCCAGGAAAUGCACAACUCCUACAUAUGGUGCACACUCUGGCCCCAGGCAAAUGGAAUUUUGUGGAUGGGCUCUGGUUUGCACAGGGGGCUGUUAGCAUGAAGCAGACGACCAGGGUUUUUAAAUCAUACUCUGUGCUAAGCUCUGUGGCUUUUUAGCUGAAGGACUUAACCGGCAUAGAUACCCUGGUUACAGACCAGAAAAACAAGAUCUUAAAGGCACUGGAAUUCUUUUCUGCC